AGAUGAACUGUUUGCCAUCGAAAAUGUGUUGAAAACCCGUGUGAGAAAAGGGAAAACAGAAGCCCUGAUCAAAUGGGAAGGCUUUACUAAACCAACAUGGGAGCCUCAAACAAACAUUAAAAAUAAUGUGUCUUUGUAAAAUUAAUUUAGAAUUAAUUUUUAUAUUUGUAAUGAUUAUUUAAAAAAGGCAGUAGCUAUGAAAUUUUUUUUUGGUGAAAGAUUUGAAAUAAAAGUACUAAAAAUAUGAAUGAAAAUAUAUAAGAUUCAUAUCAUUUUAGGUAUCUGGAAAACUUAAUUAACAGUUAAAAUGCUUUUGCCUGUUUCACAAUCAUGUGUGAUGGUAAUUUGAAACAAUUACAAUAAUGAUUUAUGAUUUUUAUUCUCAAUCUAAUAUUUAACAGCCAGAUUCUAGUUCUGAAUCAUCUAUCUAGGCAUGAGUACUUGUUUGGUCUGUCUUCAUUAUAUGAAUAUGGACAGACAUAAAUUAUGGGAAAUAAUGGAUUGAAUUCUGCAACUAAAAAAUGAAUUUUCAUGGUGAGAACCUUAUGUAAUUAAGAGACCAACUUGUAGUCUAACUAAUUAUAUUCUUUUAAAGAAAUGGAAACUAUUUUUUUUAAAAGAAAUCGUAGCUUCUGCCUCUUUAAAUAAGUAAUACUGUAUAAUAAUGAUGUAUGUUUACAAAAUUUUAUUUUCAUUAUUCCAAUUUUUGGGGUGAACAAAUAAGCAAAAUACUCACUUUAGUGUGAAACAAGAUUUUGUGAUGGAAUUCAAUGUUUGCCAUACCAUAGUUCACCCAAAGGUAAUUUAUGACAGUACCUUAUGACAGUACCAUUGAAUAAGAUUUUAUGACAGUACCAUUGAUGUAAUAGAAUGAGAUUUUAUGACAGUACCAUUGAUGUAAUAGAAUGAGAUUUUAUGACAGUACCAUUGAAGUAAUAGAAUGAGAUUUUAUGACAGUACCAUUGAUGUAAUAGAAUGAGAUUUUAUGACAGUACCAUUGAUAGUAAUAGAAUGAGAUUUUAUGACAGUACCAUUGAAGUAAUAAAUAGAAUGAGAUUUUAUGACAGUACCAUUGAAAGUAAUAGAAUGAGAUUUUAUGAC
rnacentral:lncRNA from 1 species